UUUUCUUUGCUUCCAUUUUCGGGCUGAAGGCUCCAAGAAGAAAGAGAGAGGGGAGAGGAGGGCACAGGCUCCGGCGAGGAGGAAGGAGCAGGCGUAGGUCCGGGUGCGGUCAUAGAGCCAGCCUGCAGGGGAAGGAGCCGGUGAGAGCUGCAGGAGUGGAGUUUAACUUGAUCCUCUGGAAUGGAAUCCUUGGAAUGGAGUUCAGCUUGAUCCUUUGGAGUGGGAUCCCUGGGGUGGGGUUUGGUUUGAUCCCUGGGGUGGGGUUUAACUUGAUCCUUUGGAGUGGGAUCCUUGGAGGGGCUUAUUUUGGUCCUGGGAGUGGGAUCCUUGGAGUGGGGUUGAAUUUGACCCCUGGAGUUGGGUCUGAUUUGCUCCUGGGAGCGGAGUUUAAUCUGAUCCAUGGAGUUUUUUGAUCCUUGGGUUGGGAUUUCGCUGGAUCCUUUGGAGUGGGAUCCUUGGAGGGCCUUAAUUUGAUCCUGGGAGUGGGGGUUUAGUUGGAUCCGUGGAGGUUUUGGAUCCCUGGAGUGGACUUUACUGUGUUGCUGGGCGUGGAGUUGGGUUUGCCCUGCAGUGGAGCUGUGGCUGGGUUGAAGCCCACCUCUGGGUUUGCUUUUCUUUCCUUUGCCUCUUAUUUAAAGGGGGAGGGGGGGGGGGGGGGAGGGGAAUCUCUCCCAGCAGCAGCCCCUGGGGCUGUGGCCAUGACCUGCAUGUGGUGGUUGAACAUCUGGGCUGCAAACUCCUCCUCUCUCCAGCUUUGCCUUCUCAGCAGCUCCAGAUCCACCUCUGCUGGGAGAGAUCCCAGGCCAGGAGCUGGACGGGAACUGCUUUGUGAGCACUGAGAAGGGAAGAAGAAAGCUGAGUCCCACCAAGCCCGAGGGGCUGAGGUCACCUCUCCAAGUGCCCUCCAGGUGUCUGGGUUGGUUCCAGCAGGUUUGUGUCUCAAGAAUGAUUCUUUUAAAGGGGAGGGAGGAGAAUUCCUCUCUUGGGAUCAAACCUACCCAAAGUGUUGGGAGUGCUGCAUUAAAAACCUUCCCCUGCUCCCAGGUGUGCUGCUGGGGGCUGCUGAGGUGGGUCUGCAGCCAAGCCAGAGCUGCUGCUGGGGUAAGAUGAAGCUCUUCUGGAGGCAUCUCUGAGGUGUACAGGACAGAGGGACUGGGGCAGGCUGCAGAGGUGGACCCAAGGCAAGCUCAUGAGGUUCAGCAAGGGCAAGGCUCCUGCAGCUGGGGCAGGGCAGUGCCAAGCACAGAUCCAGGCUGGGUGAGCAGUGGAGGAGAAGGCCUUGGGGGUCUCAGUAGGUGCCAAAGUGCCCAGCAGCCAGCACUGGUUGCUGGCAGCCCAGAGGCAGCUGAGUGCUGGCUGCAGCCAGAGCAGGGGAGCAGCAGCACAGGGAGGGGAUUCAGCUCUGCUCUGCUCAGCCCUCACCUGCAGCACUGCCUCCAGCUCUGGGCCACCAGCACAAGGACCUGGAGCUGCUGGAGAGGGUCCAGAGGAGGCCAUGGAGAUGCUGAGAGGCUGCAGAACCUCCCCUAUGGGACAGGCUGGGAGAGUCUGAGGCUGUGCAGCCUGGAGAGGAGAAGGCUCCAGGGAGAGCUCAGAGCAGGCUGAAGGAGCUGCAGGAGAGCUGGGGAGGGACUGUGGGCAAGGGCUGGGGAGCUGCUGGUGGGUGCCUGCUGGAGGCUGUUUGGUUGGUGCCUGCGGGGGGGCUGCUGCUGGGGGCUGGGAUGUGCUUUCUAACUGGGAUUCCAUGGUUUGUUCUCUCUCCUUCCAGCUGGAGCUCCUGAUUUGCCCUGCUCAAGGCCACCCAAAGUGCUCUUCCCUCCUUAGCUUGCUGUUCAUGGCUCACCAAGGGAGGGUUUGUUCUGCCUUUGGGCUUCUUCAGCAUCUGGCAGAGGAUUUGCUGUGAAGGAACCUUCAAAACCUUUCAACCUGAGCCAGGCCAACUGCCUUCAGCUUCCAGGUUCAGCAGGUUUGCAGAGAGAAGAAGCAGGAGGGGAGCUAGGAGCAAGUUCUACCCUUGGAUGCUUGUGGUGGGUACCUGCUGUGUGAGAGGGAAGUGUUUACCUGCCAGGGGAGGUCCUCCAAUGGCUGCAAACCCAGCAAAGAAGGCAGCAAAGCCCAGGUAGCUGUGGAGCUUCUGCACCCCCACCAGAUCCACCUGUUAGGGAAAGCAAAGGGUCAGUGGUGCCUGAGCUCCUGGCAGUGCCCAGAGGGAGAGAGAGGUCUGGGGUAGCUGUUGAUCAGUGCCAACUCUGAGCCAGGCUGUGCCCAGGGGACUAAGAAGGGCAUCAGCAGCCUGGCCUGGAGCAGCCACAGUGUGGGCAGCAGGAGCAGGGCAGGGAUUGUCCUCUUGGCCACUUCAGAGGCCACAGCUGGAAUCCUGGGGUCAGUUUUGGGCACUCUCAGGAGGAUAUUGAGAGGCUGCAGCAGGUCCAGAGAAGGGCAAGAAAGG